CCUACGGGUGGCAGCAGCGGGGAAUAUUGCACAAUGGGCGCAAGCCUGAUGCAGCGACGCCGCGUGAGCGAUGAAGGCCUUCGGGUCGUAAAGCUCUGUCCUAAGGGAAGAAUAAUGACGGUACCUUAGGAGGAAGCCCCGGCUAACUACGUGCCAGCAGCCGCGGUAAUACGUAGGGGGCGAGCGGUAUCCGGAAUCACUGGGCGUAAAGGGUGCGUCGGCGGCCUUGCAAGUGAGGAGUUAAAUCCCUCGGCUCAACCGGGGUUAGCUCUUGAACCUGGAGGGCUUGGGUGCAGGGGAGGAGAGCGGAAUUCCUGGAGUAGCGGUGAAAUGCGUAGAUAUUAGGAGGAACACCAGUGGCGAAGGCGGCUCUCUGGUCUGCAACUGACGCUGAGGCACGAAAGCGUGGGGAGCGAACAGGAUUAGAUACCCUUGUAGUC
rnacentral:rRNA from 1 species